GCCACUUUGACAAUUUGGCCUGAUUUUCAACUAAGUAUGGAUGGAUUUCUUGAUUGGGCUGGGAAUUUUCUUAUUGGGCCUUGCCCUCAAGAAUUUGGGCUUGUGAUCCAUCUCCUACCGAAAUUGAAUCGUUGAUGCUCGUAAUGGAGAUCCAAUGCGCUUUGGCUGCAAGAUUUGGUGUCUUGGACCAAGAUUCCCAAUAUUUGAAAUCUUGAUUUUCCCUUUCUUUUGUGUACGCAUCUAAGGCCUUACUAACAAACUCCUGGAUGGUCCCAUUUAGUUUGGAACGCAUUUGUCG
rnacentral:lncRNA from 1 species